GACGAACGCUGGCGGCGUGCCUAAUACAUGCAAGUCGAGCGGACAGAAGGGAGCUUGCUCCCGGAAGUUAGCGGCGGACAGGUGAGUAACACGUGGGCAACCUACCCUGUAGAUCGGGAUAACAUCGAGAAAUCGGUGCUAAUACCGGAUAAUCAUUUGAAGUGCAUGCUUCGAAUGUAAAAGAUGGCUCCGGCUAUCACUACGGGAUGGGCCCGCGGCGCGUUAGCUGGUUGGUAAGGUAAUGGCUUACCAAGGCAACGAUGCGUAGCCGACCUGAGAGGGUGUUCGGCCACACUGGGACUGAGACACGGCCCAGACUCCUGCGGGAGGCAGCAGUAGGGAAUCUUCCGCAAUGGACGAAAGUCUGACGGAGCAACGCCGCGUGAGUGAUGAAGGUUUUCGGAUCGUAAAGCUCUGUUGUUAGGGAAGAACAAGUGCCGUUUGAAUAAGGCGGCACCUUGACGGUACCUAACCAGAAAGCCACGGCUAACUACGUGCCAGCAGCCGCAGUAAUAC
rnacentral:rRNA from 1 species